rfam:Helianthus annuus linkage group 7, whole genome shotgun sequence.
GGAUGCAUUGCUGGGCAAUACUUCUUUAGCAGUUAGCAUGCACCAUGCUACCUUUAACUGCCAAAGGAGAUUUGCCCUGUAAUUCAGCU